rnacentral:tRNA from 1 species
GGAGAGGUGGCAGAGCGGUUCAAUGCAUUGGUUUUGAAAACCAACGUGGCUUCAGAGUCACCGAGGGUUCGAAUCCCUCCCUCUCCU